rnacentral:rRNA from 1 species
UACGUAGGCAGCAAGCGUUGUUCGGAGUUACUGGGCGUAAAGGGUGCGUAGGCGGUUGUUUAAGCUUGGUGUGAAAUCUCCCGGCUCAACUGGGAGGGUGCGCCGAAUACUGAAUGACUAGAGUGUGGGAGAGGAAAGUGGAAUUCCUGGUGUAGCGGUGAAAUGCGUAGAUAUCAGGAGGAACACCGGUGGUGUAAACGGCUUUCUGGACCAUAACUGACGCUGAGGCACGAAAGCGUGGGUAGCAAACAGG